ACAAAGGUGCUGAUACAGUAUGUGCUGCCUAAGGUAAUUGGACUGAAAGGUUUAAUGCAGCAUGAGUUACCAUUUGUUUCUCUUUGUAUAUUUUUACAUUCAUACCAAUAGUUGUGUUGCCAGUGUUGAACAAAUGAUGUGUAUUUGUUGUUUCCCAGAUUGAAAAAUGACACUAAUUGGAUGGAGAGCUGGAAGUGGAAGCCGGGAUUGAAGCGGCAGGAAUAAGCUUAAAGUCUUUGAUACAGGAAGCAGCUCUGUGUCAACAGUGACCGACUGUGGCGCAGCACAGAAAUCCUAUUAAGAUUAGACUAAGCAGUAGCUGCACGACUCCAGUGACUUUGCCCUGCUUUGUCUAGUAACACAGGGGUUCUUGUCAUCUGGAACUCCCUUAAUCAGCGGGUCAUUCGGUAGCAGUCCUUCAACGAAAGUGAUCGUGUCUGCGCAGUUUGCACUCACCUGUUGUUCAGAGGAGAGAUGAAAUCAAAUCUCCAUUUUCAGGAUUUCCUUAUCUGACAUAUCCCGAGCCAUCUUGGCUGCAAGAAGAAACCAAGAUCCUUGUUUUGAAAAGUGUUAAAUAUCCC